rnacentral:rRNA from 1 species
UACAGAGGUCCCAAGCGUUGUUCGGAUUCAUUGGGCGUAAAGGGUGCGUAGGUGGCAUGGUAAGUCGGGUGUGAAAUCCCGGGGCUCAACCCCGGAACUGCACUCGAUACUGCCGUGCUCGAGUACUGGAGAGGAGACUGGAAUUUACGGUGUAGCAGUGAAAUGCGUAGAUAUCGUAAGGAAGACCGGUGGCGAAGGCUAGUCUCUGGACAGUUACUGACACUGAGGCACGAAGGCCAGGGGAGCAAACGGG